UAAAGCGCGCGUAGGUGGUUUGUUAAGUUGGAUGUGAAAUCCCCGGGCUCAACCUGGGAACUGCAUUCAAAACUGACUGACUAGAGUAUGGUAGAGGGUGGUGGAAUUUCCUGUGUAGCGGUGAAAUGCGUAGAUAUAGGAAGGAACACCAGUGGCGAAGGCGACCACCUGGACUAAUACUGACACUGAGGUGCGAAAGCGUGGGGAGCAAACAGGAUUAGAUACCCUGU
rnacentral:rRNA from 1 species